rnacentral:tRNA from 1 species
UCCCCCAUGGCUCAGAUGGUAAAGAAUCUGCCUGCAAUGCAGGAGACCCAGGUUCAAUCCCUGGGUCGGGAA